UUCACAAUUCUUGGUACCUAACAC
rnacentral:piRNA from 1 species